rnacentral:ncRNA from 1 species
GUGUAAGUAUGAACAAAUUCAGACUGUGAUACUGCGGAUGGCUCAUUAAAUCAGUUAUAGUUUGUUUGAUGGUAUCUACUACUCGGAUAACCGUAGUAAUUCUAGAGCUAAUACGNGAACAAUUGAGCGACUUGUUUGAAACUUCUAUCAAUCGACAGAUUUAUUAUGGAUUAAACUAUUUCUCUACUCUAUUGACCUAUAUGUGUUUAUUUUUCUUGUAAGGCAAUUAAAUUUAGCGAAUUAAUGGCUAGUAAUUAAAGUUGACGUCUCACAAAUAUGGUUAUCCGAG